CCUACGGGUGGCAGCAGUGAGGAAUAUUGGUCAAUGGACGAGAGUCUGAACCAGCCAAGUAGCGUGAAGGAUGACUGCCCUAUGGGUUGUAAACUUCUUUUACAUGGGAGUAAAAUGCUCUACGUGUGGGAUUUUGUAUGUACCCUAAGAAUAAGGAUCGGCUAACUCCGUGCCAGCAGCCGCGGUAAUACGGAGGAUCCGAGCGUUAUCCGGAUUUAUUGGGUUUAAAGGGUGCGGAGGUGGAUGGUUAAGUCAGGUGUGAAAGUUUGGGGCUCAACCGUAAAAUUGCAGUUGAAACUGGCAGUCUAGAGUGCAGUAGAGGUAGGCGGAAUGCGUGGUGUAGCGGUGAAAUGCUUAGAUAUCACGAAGAACUCCGAUUGCGAAGGCAGUUCACUGGACUGCAACUGACGCUGAGGCUCGAAAGUGUGGGUAUCAAACAGGAUUAGAUACCCCAGUAGUC
rnacentral:rRNA from 1 species